rnacentral:misc_RNA from 1 species
UCUCCGUUGGUGAACCAGCGGAGGGAUCAUUACCGAGUUUACAACUCCCAAACCCCUGUGAACAUACCAUUUGUUGCCUCGGCGGUGCCUGCUUCGGCAGCCCGCCAGAGGACCCAAACCCUUGAUUUUAUACAGUAUCUUCUGAGUAACUGAUUAAAUAAAUCAAAACUUUCAACAACGGAUCUCUUGGUUCUG